GUUCAUCGACUGGCCGCUGCCACAGGACGACAGGAGCGGCUAGACGAGGUGUAUUGGAGGUGGUGCAAAUUGAUAGGUCACGGAUCUACGGCGUCGGGAGGUGCCGGGCAGAGUCAGGCUAGUAGGGGGUCGUAUCCGCAGCACGGGGCACUUCUGCGGUGUCUCAGCAGCUUUAUGAGACAUGGAUCUCCACGCUGGAGG
rnacentral:lncRNA from 1 species